rnacentral:rRNA from 1 species
CCUGCGCUUAAUUGCGCGGCCAAUUCUUGAUUCUCUGCUAUCAGUUUUCUAUUUCUCAUCCUAAACACAAUGGAGUUUUUUCUCUAUGAACUACUUCCCUGGAGAGCUCGUCUCUCCAGUGGACAUAAACACAAACAAUAUUUUGUAUUAUGAAAAACUAUUAUACUAUAAAAUUUAAUAUUCAAAACUUUCAACAACGGAUCUCUUGGUUCUCGCAUCGAUGAAGAACGCAGCGAAUUGCGAUAUGUAUUGUGAAUUGCAGAUUUUCGUGAAUCAUCAAAUCUUUGAACGCACAUUGCGCCCUCUGGUAUUCCAGGGGGCAUGCCUGUUUGAGCGUCAUUUCUCUCUCAAACCUUUGGGUUUGGUAGUGAGUGAUACUCGUCUCGGGUUAACUUGAAAGUGGCUAGCCGUUGCCAUCUGCGUGAGCAGGGCUGCGUGUCAAGUCUAUGGACUCGACUCUUGCACAUCUACGUCUUAGGUUUGCGCCAAUUCGUGGUAAGCUUGGGUCAUAGAGACUCAUAGGUGUUAUAAAGACCCGCUGGUGUUUGUCUCCUUGAGGCAUACGGCUUUAACCAAAACUCUCAAAGUUUGACCUCAAAUCAGGUAGGGGUACCCGCUGAACUUAAGCAUAUCA